rnacentral:rRNA from 1 species
CGAACGCUGGCGGCAUGCCUAACACAUGCAAGUCGAACGGUAGCAGGCCCUUCGGGGUGCUGACGAGUGGCGCACGGGUGAGUAACGCGUGGAUACCUGCCCUAGGGUGGGGGACAACAGCUGGAAACGGCUGCUAAUACCGCAUACGUCCUAAGGGAGAAAGAUUUAUCGCCCUUGGAGGGGUCCGCGUCGGAUUAGCUAGUUGGUGGGGUAAAGGCCUACCAAGGCGACGAUCCGUAACUGGUCUGAGAGGAUGAUCAGUCACACUGGAACUGAGACACGGUCCAG